CCCCUUUGUUCUAUUGGUUCUACAGCACAGGCUUUUCUCAGUUGAGUUAAAAUGUUUAUGCAUGAAAGCUGUCAACACAUUAGAAAAAAAUCAUAUCUGGCUUUUGGCCCAUGAUUGAAAAUGCUUUGAAUCAUUAGAUCUUUUUUUUUUCUUUCUUUCUUUUGGUAAGGUUGGAUAGGGGAUAAUAUCUUGGGGGUGAAGAAGAUACCGUCCUGUGUUGAGCUGAAUAAAUGUAACAAGUCUUGAGGUUGCAAUCAGAGUAUAACAUUUUGUUGCAUUGAGUUGAAACAAUAGAAAUGUACAUGGGCUUGAAAACUUCAAUUUUUGUCUGCUAAAUUUAACAUGACUUCUUAAUGAUGAGGAUUCUAGUAGUCUUAUGUAUUUUCUGUGAUGUUUGUUUAGAAUUGAUAAAUGUGCCACUUCUGUUACAAGAGCGGGUGUGUACCUAUCUGUUUGUCUCAUAUACCACAGUUAAUUGUUAGAAAACUUCAGUUUGCUUUUUGACUUUCAGCAGAUAAAUUAUUCAAACUUGGGU
rnacentral:misc_RNA from 1 species